rnacentral:rRNA from 1 species
UACGUAGGGUGCAAGCGUUGUCCGGAAUUAUUGGGCGUAAAGAGCGUGUAGGCGGCCCCGUUAGUCCGCUGUGAAAGUCCAGGGCUCAACCCUGGAAUGCCGGUGGAUACUACGGGGCUAGAGUCCGGAAGGGGCGAGUGGAAUUCCUGGUGUAGCGGUGAAAUGCGCAGAUAUCAGGAGGAACACCAAUGGCGAAGGCAGCUCGCUGGGACGUGACUGACGCUGAGACGCGAAAGCGUGGGGAGCAAACAGG